UAGAGCGGUGUCUGCACCUGUACACCGGUUCUGUGGCUUUUGGUAUCGUUGAUGUUGUUUUUCGCCGAUCAAGAGUUUGACAUGCAGUACGUACCAUACAAGUAGCCCUGCGUAUCCAGACCGCUUCUCUCUCGCUACUUGCGGUUUCGACGAAUGCUACAGCACAGGUUAAUCGGAUCCUCAGCCAGUAUAGUCUAAAAAGGACUCGACUAUAACUUACUGUAAGGUUGUGGGCAUGCCGUGCUACCGACGUUGGCUGUGCUCGAGGAGAUGGAGAACAACAAACAGGUGGCCAUCAUCAUCGACACUCUGGUACUGAAUGGCAACUGACGGUUGUAAGACGGGUGACCUCCUAAUGUUCAGCUCUGAAUGACGUCACUGUGUUGAAUGAGUUCUUAUAUGGUGAACAUAGCCUCGACUGUUUAAAUUCAUUUAGCUCUGUACGUCAUUAGUUUUAGUAAAUGUCUCCAAAUAUGGCUCUCAAAGCGCAUGUUUUGAACGCAGUGUGCUUAUACAAGCACGGAGACGGAAGAAAGGAGGAGGAGGAGCUGUUCAAUGCGUAGGCUUGAUCCACACGGGCACUAAACCAGAGACGGAUGGGUAUCUAACCAUUGGAUUCCUUUUGGAUGGUUUUGUGUUUGAUCUGAUCAGGACAGCGAGCGACUGCACCAUUAUUUGAUACAAUUACCAGCCUUGUUGUUGCCAGGCUAGCAAACUGAAAGCGGCGAAGGAUAAAAUCUGUAGGUAGGUGUAAUGUUUGGGUAUUGUUUACACACUUUGUUGAUAUAUCUACGGUAUCGUAGCUAUACAAUGUUGGUAUUGUUCCCGCUACCUUCUACGGUUCGGUUGUAAGCCAUGGUUGCUGUCGGUCUGUCUGUCUAG